ensembl:misc_RNA
UCCGUCACCUGACCCGGCCAUAUCAGGAACCGCCACGGUCCGGCUC